UAAGUUGCUGGUGGUGGAACAGAACGCCCCAAGAUCAUCUUGUCUCAGUUCCUGCUCGACCAAAAAGUAAAUUUCUUUCUCUUUAUGCUUUUCCCGUCUUUGAAAUAAAACUCUCGUGUGUUGUUUUCUUGAUACCGACUAUAAAUUCUAUCUUGAGUGUAUCCAGCUCUUUGUGUUAGUGUAAUUUUCUCUCGUUUUGUCUCCUCCUAAUCAUGACAGCAAGUAGGGGUUGAGUAUUA
rnacentral:lncRNA from 1 species